UCCCUGGUAGCUCAGCCAGUAAAGAAUCUGCCUGCAAAGCAGGAGACCCCGGUUCAAUUUCUGGGUUGGGAAG
rfam:TPA: Bos taurus chromosome 5, whole genome shotgun sequence.